rnacentral:tRNA from 1 species
AUUGACUAAAGCCAAGUAAGAGGCUAAUCACUGUUAAUGAUUUUACUGGCUUUACGCCUAGUCGUUU